CGUGGGGCGGGCGGAAGCACCCGGCGGGGUGGGCGCGCCCGGCCUCUGGCCGCGAGUUGACUACUGCGGCGUGAGUCAGUGGCAGCGCCGGGACCCCGCGUCCCCGCGUGGAGUCUUCGCUCAGAACAGAGGCAGCUUCCACCCCAGUCCCUAGGUGUGGACACAUCAGGACAGGAACGAAUCAAACAGAGCAGGUUCCACCUUGGACCAAGAUGAGGAGCCAUUCAGAGUAGCUGCUGCCUCUGGAAAGGUCCCCAGUGUCCUGGGCAGCCCAGCGGGUCCGGACAGGGCCCUGCUGGCUGCCCUCUGCUAGCAGG
rnacentral:lncRNA from 1 species